UACGUAGGGUGCAGGCGUUAAUCGGAAUUACUGGGCGUAAAGCGUGCGCAGGCGGUUUGCUAAGAGAGAUGUGAAAUCCCCGGGCUUAACCUGGGAACUGCGUUUCUAACUGGCAGGCUUGAGUGUGGCAGAGGGGGUGGAAUUCCGACGUGUAGCAGUGAAAUGCGUAGAGAUGUGGAGGAACACCGAUGGCGAAGGCAGCCCCCUGGGCUAACACUGACGCUCAUGCACGAAAGCGUGGGGAGCAAACAGG
rnacentral:rRNA from 1 species